rnacentral:rRNA from 1 species
GAUGAACGCUGGCGGCGUGCCUAACACAUGCAAGUCGAGCGAUUUACUUCGGUAAAGAGCGGCGGACGGGUGAGUAACGCGUGGGUAACCUGCCCUGUACACACGGAUAACAUACCGAAAGGUAUGCUAAUACGAGAUAAUAUACUUUUAUCGCAUGGUAGAAGUAUCAAAGCUCUGGCGGUACAGGAUGGACCCGCGUCUGAUUAGCUAGUUGGUAAGGUAACGGCUUACCAAGGCGACGAUCAGUAGCCGACCUGAGAGGGUGAUCGGCCACAUUGGAACUGCGACACGGUCCAACCUCCUACGGGAGGCAGCAGUGGGGAAUAUUGCACAAUGGGCGAAAGCCUGAUGCAGCAACGCCGCGUGAGCGAUGAAGGCCUUCGGGUCGUAAAGCUCUGUCCUCGAGGAAGAUAAUGACGGUACUUGAGGAGGAAGCCCCGGCUAACUACGUGCCAGCCGCCGCGGUAA